UCCCCGGUUCCUGUUAGCUAAUAUCGCCCGCAACCUCUAGUGACCACAGUCUAGUCCCUUUGCUGCAAGUUGCAUAAAGUUGCAAGCGCUUGCCUCUUAUCCCGGGAAAAGGAGUACUCCAGUGUUCUAGUUUGUUCCCAGAGGAGGAGCCCUGUGAUUAUGCCUUCAUUCAGAGAGAGCGAGUGAGUCAUUACGGAAGACAGUUUGCACAGUUCUUGGUUGACACAGAAAUGAAGAGUACCUUGGCUGAAUGUUCCAGCAGAGGGGACCAUUAUGACCCUGACUGAUUCUUCAUGCAUGGCUAAGAAAACACCUUGUGAUUGUGAAGAAGGAGGGAGCAAUAGCAACAGCUGUCCCCUUUGGAAGGUAAUUAUUGUAGCCCACUCACUCAAGCUUAAAGCAAUGGAGAAUGAAGGCUUACACUGCCAGACUCACUUUAAAAUAGCACCUGCAUGGUUUCAUUGUCCAGAAUGACCCUUAUAAUGACCCUUAUAGACACGAGUGGUCUGAAAAUCUAACGCCAUUCUGACGGAAACAAACUACAGAAGGAAGGAAUCUGCAUAUAAGAAAGAGUUUUAUAUCUUUUGUCACUACCAGUGCGUCAAUUCUAAUCCUUUAAUGGGAGUUAUGGUAUUUGAAGACUGUAGGACCUUAAAGAAUUUAUGACUCAUUACCCUCCUGAUGGGAAUCCACCCUGACUAGCAUGGUGAGAUUUUGGCCAAGACUUUGAGGCAAAGAGCCUUCCCUCCCUUCCCCCCCACCCAUGUGUGAGCUGAAUCACCUCACUAUGAGAGUUUUACUAUUUGAGCAUGCUCUGUUUCCAUGCACACAGUUUUAGUGGACUUUGAUAAAAAUUGAUUUUUCAUUAAGCCUUUAUUAGUUUUAUUAGCGUUUCAAAUAAUAUGUGGCUAGGUCUUUCUGUGAUUUUCCAAGCUGUGCUGGUGGUCAGUAGUACCACUUUCUACCAAUACAUCUUUAAUACCUUAUCAAUCUACUGCUCUGUGGUUAGAAACAUUUUAACGUAUGUAGUGUAAAGUAAGUUCCUUUAAUGUUUGUGUUUUUACUCAGAGUAUUAGUUUUAGUAGGUUGUUCAAUUACUUACUGGUAGAAAUAAUGGCUUACUUAUUUUCCUCUUUCUCUUUCAGAAAUGUAUCUCAUUUUUAUUUGAAAUUUUAAAUUAGAUUAUGCUUAUAGAAAUGAGCAGACUAUUGUGUGAAGUGUAAUUUUUAAAAUUUGAU